AGUGAACGCUGGCGGUAGGCCUAACACAUGCAAGUCGAACGGCAGCACAGUAAGAGCUUGCUCUUCCGGGUGGCGAGUGGCGGACGGGUGAGGAAUACAUCGGAAUCUACUUUUUCGUGGGGGAUAACGUAGGGAAACUUACGCUAAUACCGCAUCCGACCUACGGUUGAAAGCAGGGGAUCUUCGGACCUUGCGCGAUUGAAUGAGCCGCUGUGGGAUUAGCUAGUUGGGGGGGUAAAGGCCCACCAAGGCGACGAUCCGUAGCUGGUCUGAGAGGAUGAUCAGCCACACUGGAACUGAGACACGGUCCAGACGCCUACGGGAGGCAGCAGUGGGGAAUAUUGGACAAUGGGCGCAAGCCUGAUCCAGCCAUACCGCGUGGGUGAAGAAGGCCUUCGGGUUGUAAAGCCCUUUUGUUGGGAAAGAAAAGCAGCAGGUUAAUACCCCGCUGUUCUGACGGUACCCAAAGAAUAAGCACCGGCUAACUUCGUG
rnacentral:rRNA from 1 species